UCCCUCCGCCGCAUCCACCAACAAGGAGGCCCGGGCCACCAGAUCCGGUGACCCCGGCCUCCUCGUCGACGGAUCUAGCCACCUGG
rnacentral:pre_miRNA from 2 species